rnacentral:rRNA from 1 species
UACGGGGGGAGCAAGCGUUGUUCGGAUUUACUGGGCGUAAAGGGCGCGUAGGCGGCCUGUGCAAGUCAGUUGUGAAAUCUCCGAGCUUAACUCGGAACGGUCAACUGAUACUGCUCGGCUAGAGUGCGGAAGGGGCAACUGGGAAUUCUUGGUGUAGCGGUGAAAUGCGAUAGAUACUCAAGAGGAACACCUGCGGCGGAAGGCGGGGCUGCUGGGCCGACACUGACGCUGAGGCGCGAAAGCUAGGGGAGCGAACGGG